rnacentral:rRNA from 1 species
UACGAAGGGGGCUAGCGUGGUUCGGAUUUACUGGGCGUAAAGCGCGUGUAGGCGGGUCGUUAAGUUGGGGGUGCAAUCCCGAGGCUCAACCUCGGAACUGGCUUCAAAACUGGCGACCUGGAGCAAGAUAGAGGCGAGUGGAAUUGCGAGUGUAGAGGUGAAAUUCGUAGAGAUUCGCAGGAACACCAGUGGCGAAGGCGAUUCGCUGGAUCUUUGGUGAAGCUGAGACGCGCAAGCGUGGGGAGCAAACAGG